GCACCUUCUAGAAUUUAUUAAUUAAUAUUGAUUUGACAUAUUUAAUUAUAAAACUCCAACACAACAACAAUAAUAAAACCUUUAUCUCAAACUAAUUGGAGUCGGUUAAGUGAAUCAUUUUUCACUACUCGACUCUGUUUAAGAUCAAUUCUGCACCAAUAUUCAAAGAUAACAUAAUAAAUAAGCUAUGGAUGGAAUUGAUAGGAUCCUGUCUAGUCAUUCUACUCACGUCCUUCACACAAUGUGACAAGCAGACCCACGGAGAAUAUUUUAGCCGACUUUUGUUGUCAGGCUUGCUGGGAAGGUUGCCA
rnacentral:misc_RNA from 1 species